AGUCAUUUAAUGAUGAUUUCAUAGUUCAUCUGAUCUUAUUGAUGAGCUUUCUAGAAAUUAGUCUUUCGCUCCUAUCUGAUUUUGAAA